UACAGAGGGUGCGAGCGUUACUCGGAAUUACUGGGCGUAAAGCGUGCGUAGACGGUUAUUUAAGUCGGGUGUGAAAGCCCCGGGCUCAACCUGGGAAUUGCAUUCGAGACUGAAUAGCUAGGGUACGGUAGAGGGAAGUGGAAUUUCCGGUGUAGCGGUGAAAUGCGUAGAUAUCGGAAGGAACAUCAGUGGCGAAGGCGGGUCUCUGGACAGUUCCUGACGCUGAGGCACGAAGGCCAGGGGAGCAAACGGG
rnacentral:rRNA from 1 species